UUGAUUUUAUCUCUGGCGCAUAAAAAUUUGUUUUGUUGGUGUCAAGGUUUUUUAUACUUCAUAGCUCUCUAGCUAGAAUGCCUAAGAUCUUUAUGUCGUGAUGGCUUUUCCAUUUGGUAAUGUAGGAGCAGGGACAUGCUUGCUAGCUUGUCUUAUGUAGGUCAUAAUCUUCUGUAAUUUUAUGGUGACAACAAGCUAUUAAACAGCAAUUGCUUUGUACUUAGUGCUAGAGCAGUUCAAGAUUUACAUUGAAAGUGUAUCUGCAUAAACUAGAAUUUGUUCUUGGGGUGGUGAGUACUGUACUGUGUGAAAAAUUAAAAAUAGUGUGAAUUUACCUGGAUACCAAAAUAACCACAUCGGUUGAGUGGAUAUACUGUUUACCUGUUCCAUUGGGGUUUUGGUUUGGUCUUGAGGCACUUCCAGUUCACCCAGUUUACAACUGAGGAAGUGUAUGUGGUUGAGUGCAGUCAGGCCAUGCUGUCUGCUUGUGUACUGAAGGCUUAGUAUACAAUGUGCUGUAUCCAACACUGUCCCUAAUGGGCUGUUUUUCCUAUGGGACCCAUUUACACAUUUCACAUAGAUACAGAAAACUCUGAAUGUAAGAAGAAUUAUUAUAAAAGGGAGGGAGGAUUGUCUAGAAGUUAGUGUCGUAUUAGAAGGCAGCCAAAGAACCUAUGUAAUGAAUAAAACAUGUACUGUAUAUGGACACAAGUUUAACAUAUUUGCCAUGUAAUUUCUGUGAAUAAAAUGGGACAUGUUGGAUGAUCAUAUAAUUCAAACAAGAACAUUUUAAACGCCAUUAUGAUAUUUUGUAUGUUAGUAUUGACUUUAGAUUCACUGUUUUUCUGUUUUGAGCUUCUACAACAACAUAUAUACUACAGUACUGCAGAUGCCAUCAUACUUUGCAAAAUUUGUUUUUCAAAUGAUUAGAUAAAAAAUUGCAUAAAGCCAAGGAACCAUUAAUUCUGAUGGUAAAGUUUAAUAUUUUGGAUAAUUAUUAUGCUUUCUCAAGAAACUUAGAUGAAAAGAAAGAGACAAAGGUGCUCUUAGUUAUAUUAUUGUGUAGUGUCUAAAGAAGUAACUACAAUGCUUAUAGACAAUAUUGUAUUUUGAGGCAUAUUCCUGUACUCUAUCUCUGGUAUUAUUUUUAUUACAGUACUUUCUUAGUUUACUUCAUAGUCAUUGUGUUUCAACCCAAGUUUAAAAAAAAAGUCACGAAGGACACUGCAUUGCAGUGUGUGACAGUGAGGUUUGGCGGUAAAAUUAACUAAUUCCAAUAAAAUUAAUUUAUAAUAAUGGAAUUAGUUAAUUCUACCGCCAUGCCUCCCUGUCAAGCACUGUAGUGCAGUGUCCUUCAGGAUUUUUUUUUCUAAAACUCUAGUUGAAACAUGAUGACUCCCAUCAUUGGAAGAGGGUGAUGAAAACUAUGGCCGUAAGACUAACAAUAUGUUUAAGAGAUGCUUCUCACUGGAUAGUAAAAAUAAUCUGUAUAGACAAUAUCAUUGUGGUACAGGAGAAAUUCUGGGUUUGAUGCUCAGGUGGUUAGAGGGUCUUGCCCCAUGUGUUUAUAUAAUUAACCCUGAUAUGCCAAGUAUUGUACUGUAUUGUGAAUGAAUUACUCAUAUCGAUAAGAUGAUAAACUGAUGUACAUAAAAUUAUGUCUUGUGGGCUAGCCAUUUUGGCUGCCAAAUGUUUUGGUAUUGUGAGAUAAUUUUUCACAGAAUUUCAUGUACUACCUCCAGGAAACCCAAAAUCAGCUAUUUGGUCCCAAGUGUAGGAUUUUACUGGUUUACCUCAUAAGUGUUAAGCUAAUGGUACCAACAAAUAGCUGCUCUAGACUUGUACUAUUUCUGAUGUCUUUUUGUAGAAUAAAGACCAGGAUAGCCUAAAGAAAAAUUCAAGGUGACCAUUUUAUAGCAGAAGGGAAUGUUGGUGAAUGGAAACUUUUCUUGUUUUCCCUUACAACAAACCCUCAAACUUAAAAAAACGAGAAGAGAACUAGAAUUUUUAUAUAUUCCAAAAAGAUUGAUUCUUUGGAGGAGUGUAGAGAUAUACAUGUACAACUGUAUAAGAAUUGCUGUCAGGAGAAGUAGCCUUUUAUUAGAUUAAUAAGAUGGAGUUGUUGUCAAGAUACGUAACAGAAGGGAUGCUAUCCUUCUUACUUUUCUGGAAAUGAUCUCAGGGUUGAACCCUGUACAUGUUGCAGACACAUCUGUUUCAAUGACACAUUUGCAUCUUAUUUCUUUUUCCAGAUUUCCUAUGGGUUCUGAUGAUUUGAAAUGUUGACAGUUUUUUGUUGGUUGGUGCUAUCAUGGCUUUUACAAUAAUUGAUUUCAUUCGCUUGGAGUAUCAUGCCACGGACAACUAGAAGAUCAUAACUGUUGUGAGGAAGCUUUAAAUCUUAUAAAACUUUUUUUUUCCUGUUCGAGUAAAUCUUCAAAUACUCUGUACUGUAUUACAUUUUGAUACAUUAACAAAAAACUGAAAAGCCAAUUUAAAUAUUUUCAAUCCUUUUAUCUUGAAAUUUGUAUUUUCCAGAUUAAUUCAGUUAAUAGAUUCACUGAUAUGGACAGUUUUAUAUCAUUGUUUAUAAAAAUUUGUAUGCAUAGCACUUCAUAAUUUUUUUUUUACCAUUACUUACAACAUACUUUUAAGUAUUUCAGCAUCUUUUAGAUUUUACAUACCAGUAGUAUGUUUGUCUUUUUUUUUAUCUCAUAAAAAAUGGGAUGAUGAGUGCUAUUGUUUCAUCUAAAAAAACUGGCACAUUUGAAAAAUAAAAACCCCCAUCCAUUAUUAUUAUUAUUACUGUAUUAUUAUUAGUAAUAUAUUUAGUGAAUGACUAGUUUCGCUUCUUAUACCAUACACAAAAUUUAGGCAUUACCUUUACAAUAUGCUGAGCCUAUAUUACCUCAUCUUAACUCCACCUAUGUGGUUACUCCUUUAUGAUAGUACAUCAUUCAUGCCACUUAGUAGAAUGGCUCAUACUACAAAACAUGGGGCAUAUGUUACACAACUGUGAUUUGUGUGUCAUACAGUAGUUGUUCUUGUUACAUGCAGUAGAGUGGCUCAUGGUAGACAGCAAGUACAGUAGUUCAAUCACCACAACAAGAUGAACCAUGCUACACAGCAGUGGCUCAUAACAGAGUGAACCAUGCUACACAACAGUGUGAACCAUGCUACACAGCAGUGACUCAUAACAGAGUGAACCAUGCGAUACAGCAGUGGCUUAUAACAGAGUGAACCAUGCUACACAACAGUGUGAACCAUGCUACACAGCAGUGACUCAUAACAGAGUGAACCAUGCUACACAGCAGUGACUCAUAACAGAGUGAACCAUGCUACACAGCAGUGACUCAUAACAGAGCGAACCAUGCUACACAACAGUGUGAACCAUGCUACACAACAGAGUGAACCAUGCUACACAGCAGUUAUUCAUGCUACACAACAGCGUGAACCAUGCUACACAGCAGUGACUCAUAACAGUGAACCAUGCUACACAACAGAGUGAACCAUGCUACACAACAGUGAACGAUGCUACACAACAGAGUGACUCAUGCUACACAACAGGGUGAACAAUGCUACACAACAGUGAUUCAUAACAGAGUGAACCAUACUACACAAUAGGGUAAACCAUGCUACACAAUAGGGUGAACCAUGCUACACAGCAGGAUGAACCAUGCUACACAGGGUGAAUCAUACUACACAACAGAGUGAACCAUGCUACACAAUAGGGUGAACCGUGCUACACAUCAGAUACUCAUGCUACACAACAGGGUGAACCAUGCUACACAAAAAAAUGAACCAUGCUACACACGAUGAAUCAUGCUACACAAUAGGGUGAACCAUGCUACACAGCAGUUACUCAUGCUACGCAGAGUGAACCAUGCUACACAUCAGAUACUCAUGCUACACAACAGGGUGAACCAUGCUACACAAAAAAAUGAACCAUGCUACACACGAUGAAUCAUGCUACACAAUAGGGUGAACCAUGCUACACAGCAGUUACUCAUGCUACACAACAGAGUGAACCAUGCUACACAAUAGGGUGAACCAUGCUACACAUCAGAUACUCAUGCUACACAACAAGGUGAACCAUGCUACACAACAAAGUGAACCAUGCUACACAGGGUGAAUCAUGCUUCACAGCAGUUACUCAUGCUACACACAAGGUGAACCAUGCUGUUCAAUAAGGUGAACCAUGCUGUUCAAUAAGGUGAACCAUGCUACACAUCAGAUACUCGUGCUACACAACAGCAUGAACUAUGCCACACAACAGUGACUCGUGCUACAUAACUGGGUAAACCGUUCUACACAGCAGUGACAUGCUACACAGCAGUGAAUCUUGCUACACAGCAGUGAACCAUGCUACACAGCAGUUAUUCAUGCUGCACAACAGAUACUUACGUUACACAACAGUGAUUCGUGCUGCACAGCAGUGACUCAUAAUACACAGCAGUGACUCAUAAUACACAGCAGUGACUCAUGCUACACAAUAAGGUGAACAAUGCUACACAGCAGAGACUCGUUUUACAAGACAGGGUGAAUCAUGCUACACAGUAGUGACUCAUGCUACAGAAUAAGAUGAUUCAUGUCACAGCAGUGACUCAUGUUACACAAUACAGUAAUGUGAAUCGUGCUACACAAUACAGCAAGGUGAAUCAUGCUACACAAUAAGGUGAUUCAUGCUACUAAAAGUGAAUUAUGCUACCCAUCAUGGUGACUUAUGCUACACAAUAAGGUGAUUAACGCAACACAAUUUGGUGAAUCAAUGCUACACAACAGUGAAUCCAGUUACACAACAAAGUGAAUUGUGCUACACAACAGUGAAUCGUGCUAUACAACAGAGUGAAUCGUGCUACACAACAGGGUGACUUGUGCAAAAUUCUAUUUUCUCCAUAGAUACUGCACAAAGGCAUCAAGUUGGCAGUCAUUGCUUGCUUUAUUUUUGCAUAUGCCAUAUUCCUAGUAUACUGUGCUGUACUUAGAUACAUACAAUAAAUUAUAGAGUAUCCAUGUGUAUUGUACACAAAAAUAUCCCAGUCAAAUUUUUGCCUUAAUCUGAAGGUACAGGUAUUUGGAAGAUGUUAUAAUUAUGCAUUGUAUUUGUAUUCAGUCAAAAGAAGUGAUCCUCACUAAAUAUUACAUUCCAGUCAGGUUAUGUCUUAUGCUCAAAUCUCUGUUUGAUGAUAACGUCACUUUACUUCACAUCAUUUGUAUUUUGUUCAUUAACUUAACCCAUACUGUUGAGCAGAUUACAUGAGACAGUGCCAGGAAUAAUGGUUACUUGUAGUAUCUUUUACAAUAAAUAGCAUGUAGGAUGCUGGUUUACCAACUGUAUUGAAUGCAACUGGGUAUCUUGCCCUUUCAAACAAUUACACAGAAAUUAUUUACUAUAUUUUUUUAUCUGCUCUGCUAACGUAUAUGAACCUGGCAACUGCAGUAUGUAUUGUAUUUAAACUAUAUUUAUUGAAGCUAUAAAUAUCUGGGCAUUGCACUGCUAGCAUAGCGCUGGAAUGGCAGUUGCAGUUUUGACCACCAUUCAUUAUAACCUCAAUUAUGUAGCUAAAGCAGGCCUAGAAGAUAUAUGAGUAAAUAAGAAUACAAUAGAUUCAUAUGCACAUAAUUAACAAUUUAGAGGAAAUCCUUCGCAUUGCUCAGCACUGCCUUGUCCAGCAAUGCCAGUCAUCACUGGCUCUGCCUUAACAGAGAAACUACCUAAACACAUUUCACAAAGCCCAAAAUAGUAUUUGUCAUAAUGAAGGGUGCCACAUGAAAUUCUUUUGGAAUGAUUAUAGGUUCUUCAUGUUUGUAUAAAGCUCAGUGUAGAGGAGAGUGUAUUAUCUUGUGAAUAACUGUAGCCAGUUAUAUAAACUGUUCUCAUGUAUUUAAUUAAAUGAGUCUUAGUUUUAA